CAGGCCUAACACAUGCAAGUCGAGCGGACAGAAGGGAGCUUGCUUCCGGAUGUUAGCGGCGGACGGGUGAGUAACACGUGGGUAACCUGCCUGUAAGACUGGGAUAACUCCGGGAAACCGGAGCUAAUACCGGAUAGUUCCUUGAACCGCAUGGUUCAAGGAUGAAAGACGGUUUCGGCUGUCACUUACAGAUGGACCCGCGGCGCAUUAGCUAGUUGGUGAGGUAACGGCUCACCAAGGCGACGAUGCGUAGCCGACCUGAGAGGGUGAUCGGCCACACUGGGACUGAGACACGGCCCAGCACUCCUAC
rnacentral:rRNA from 1 species